GAGGGUAUAGCUCAGUGGUAGAGUGUGUACUUAGCAUGCAUGAGGUCCUGGGUUCAAUCCCCAGUACCUCCA
rfam:Camelus ferus unplaced genomic scaffold scaffold105, whole genome shotgun sequence.